rnacentral:rRNA from 1 species
CAGUAGCCGCGGUAAUACAGAGGGUGCGAGCGUUAAUCGGAUUUACUGGGCGUAAAGCGUGCGUAGGCGGCUUCUUAAGUCGGAUGUGAAAUCCCUGAGCUUAACUUAGGAAUUGCAUUCGAUACUGGGAAGCUAGAGUAUGGGAGAGUAUGGUAGAAUUCCAGGUGUAGCGGUGAAAUGCGUAGAGAUCUGGAGGAAUACCGAUGGCGAAGGCAGCCAUCUGGCCUAAUACUGACGCUGAGGUACGAAAGCAUGGGGAGCAAACAGGAUUAGAUACCCCUGUAGUCCCUGUCUCUUAUAC